UCAGUAAUUGGGGUGAAGUCGUAACAAGGUAGCCGUAUCGGAAGGUGCGGCUGGAUCACCUCCUUU
rnacentral:ncRNA from 1 species